rnacentral:lncRNA from 10 species
GAAAGUUCUUUCCUGCACCAGGUUCUAUGGAGAAUUGGUUGCAUGGUUUCUCGUGCUGUGGGCAUCAGGGACUUCAGGUGAAGGUAUUUAGCUGUGGCUUUGUGCAAACCUCAGAACUGUGUCCUCCAAGGGCCUGGGGUAUUUGGCAGGCGCUGUCUCUUGCUGCCUUUGCUGCUGUAUGACAGGUGAGUAAUAUGUUAUAUCCUAUUUCUUGGGAGCUGCCUGGAGUGUCUGCCCCUCCUGCAAACAAAUGUAGGAGUGAAGCACCUCUAGUUUGAGUCACCUUAACUUACUAGGUCCUGUUGGGGGUGAGCUCAAGGGUAACUCCAAGGUGCAGAGUGAGUUAGGCUGCUGGUUCAGUUCUUGAGAAUUGCCUGUCUAAUUAGUGGUCUGCCAAACUUAAUGGUAGAGUUACAGAAGGCUGUAUUCUUUAUAAUGACUGGCUGGGCUGUUUGUUGAGACUCCUUAUUUGUGUAGGACAAUCAAGCCAUCAACACGCAGGCAGAGUUGUUGCUCUACUAAGGUGGCAGCCAGGACAUCUAAUCUUGUGUUAUGUAUUUAAUAUUAAAAAAGGGGGUCGUUCACUGCCCUGUUUCAUACUGUUCAGCUUGAGACUGGUAGGUACAAAAGUCUUCUCACUUCCCAUGAUUCUAGCGGUGAUUGUUUAACACCGAUUUUGCCAGAACGUUCAAAGCCUGGAUCUCUCUCAGAGAAUGCAAAGUGUUAGGCACAUUUUAUUUCUGCAAACUCUGUGUUUGUGCAAUUUCAAUGCGUUGGAUUGGGUAUUCCCUCUCCAUUUCACUGUAGUCCCAGCUACUCCCUUUUGUCUUAGAUCUGCUACCAUCCCACUCCCAUACAUGGGGCACAUGGGGUUACACAGCUGUCUUUCAUCCCCAGUUCAAGGUCAUGUGGCCACUUUAUUAUGCCUUGAAGCUCUUUCUUCUCUUCUAUGAGCUACUUGGGUGUGCUUUCUGUUACUUGAGCCAUUGGUUCCUCCUCUUUUGCUCAAAUUAGUUUGGGUUAGGCUUCUGUCACUUCUGAUCAGUUCAAACUAAUUAAAAUUGGUUCCAGGACUGGAGUUUUACAUUUGGUCUGUCAUUUCACUGGGUCUCUUUCUAAUACCCUCAACUCUCUUACCCCCUGUUUUGUUAAAGCCAAUUGACACAAUUCCAAUCAGCAUUCAGUCUACAGCUACGGCUGGGCCACCAUCAGUUGCUGCUGGAAAAAAACAGAGCCACACCUGCUGGCCGAAGCAAAGCAAAUAACAACACUGCCUGCAGAAUCUUUCCAGGGACUUAACAUAUUUAAAGCAGAAAUUCUGCUUCUUCCUAAAUCUAAUCUACCCUUGGUCUUCCACAUUUGAGUAAGUGGUACCACCAUUUGGCCCAGGGCAAACACCUGGGCCAUCAUCAACUCCUUUUUCUUUCAUAUUCCACAUCUGAUCAUCAGAUUUGCAAUCAGCAAAUCUUGUUGGCUCUCCCUACAAAACACAUCCUGAGUCUGAUGACUUUGAGCCUCCUUCACCGCUCCUCACAUCUCUGCUGUGUAUGGCUGCAACAGCCUCCUAAGUGGGGUUCCUUUUUCCACGACUGUCCCUUUUAGCCUGUCCUCUACACAGCAGCAGCAUGAUCCUUUCAAAAUAUAAAUCCAGCCACGCCACUUCCCUGGUUCUUAGUAACAACCAUCAUGCUAACGAUCAAAGGUGAUUUCCAACAUCCUAUGUGAUCUGUCUCCCUGGGUCGCACCUCCUCUCCACCCUCUCCUUCCCUUUACCCUGGCUGUCCUCCUUAACUGAAAUGCCCCCGUACCCCAGAUAUUUGCAAGGCUCUUUGCUGCUGCCUUCAGAUCUCUACUCAGAUGUCACUUCUUUGGGAAGACUUCCUGAGCAAAAGACUUCCUUGAGCACCUUGUUUCCACAGCCUCCCGCACUCUCUGCUCUCUCAUCCUGCCUGUUUCUUCAUAGUCCUUCUCUUUCCCCGAUGUUUUUGGUUUUGAUGUUUAUGUGUUUAUUUAUUUUCCCUCAACCCCGAAUGUAAGUUCUAUGUUCACUUCUGCACGUCCAAUGAGUCCAAAAUAGUGCCUAGCAUAAUAGGUUAUCAAUAAAUAUUUGCAGAAUGAAUAAGCAAGGGAUUGAAGAAGCCAAGAUAAAUGGUGGAAAUCCGGAGGACACCCCUCUCCACCAUCAUUUGUCAAUAGGCAAUUUGGUCUCUUGCUUCAUAGACAAAAUAGAAGCCACCUGGAGGCAACUUCCUCACCCAUCGACAAGCUCACCAGCCUUCAUGCCUGUCCUUUGGAGCUUCCCUGCAGACAGUGGCAGCCACCUUCCUCGGGAACCACCUUCCUGGGCCUCUCCUUCAGUCAAGCUGCACAGCAGCAUUUUCUACACUUGCUCUGGCGGCAUCCUCACUGUCAUGCACUAGCGGUUGUUGGUGAGGUUCUUCAGGCUGCAGAUGGAGACAUGGGAAGGGCUGGACUGGCUCCCCUUCUCACUGUGGCUGGGCAGGGUAGGGGGUACCCCGGCUUCCAGGAUCUCUGGAAGCAAGGACAACCUCAAGGGCUGAUCCACAUCCUCUGGUGCCAUCUGCCGCCCAGAUGGGGACACAGCCCUCUUGCUGCACCGAGAAAAUGUGUGUCCUGGAUUCUCCGUGAGCUUUUCUGAAUUAAAACAAACAACAUAAAAUCAUGGGAGUGCCUUUAAUUACUGUUGAAUAAGUGAAUAAAAUAAGAUUAUAAUAUUCUACAGUAUCAUUUAUUUUUCAUUCUUAACAUUAUAAAGAGGGCUUGUUGGCUGGGCGCGGUGGCUCACGCCUGUAAUCCCAGCCCUUUGGGAGGCUGAGGCGGGCAGAUCACCUGAGGAGUUCGAGGCCAGCCUAACCAAGAUGGGGAAACCCUCG